rnacentral:rRNA from 1 species
GACGAACGCUGGCGGCGUGCCUAACACAUGCAAGUCGAACGGAAAGGCCCGGAGCUUGCGGGGUGCUCGAUUGGCGAACGGGUGAGUAACACGCGUGUAACCCGUCCCUGUAUUAGGGGUAACACUACGAAACAGGGGCGAAUACCGCAGAGAAGCUCUUGCACCGCGGGGGGGGAUGGUGAGAUUCGGCGGUUCGGGCUGGACUAGCGGCUUAUCCGCCUCAUGGUGGGGUAGGUGCGUUCCAAGGUUUUGACGGGUAGCCGGCCUGGGAGGGUGGCCGGCCACCUUGGGACUGCGGUACGGCCCAGACUCCUACGGGAGGCAGCAGUGGGGAAUAUUGCACAAUGGGCGGACGCCUGAUGCAGCAACGCCGCGUGCGUGAUGCCGUCCUUCGGGUUGUAAACCGCUUUCGCCUGUGCCGAAGCGUGAGUGACGGUAAUGGGUCAGGAAGCACCGGCUAACUACGUG